rnacentral:lncRNA from 1 species
UACAAAUAAAACUCAGCCCUGCAGGGAGCUUGCAGUCCAUGGGGCAUCCAGAUGAGCAGCCAAGGCCAAACCAAUGUGCUUUUAAACAUAGACGAAUUUAACCAGGAUGCUUUUUCUCCUCUGGACUUCUUUGUUUUAAAUUGGGCUCCUCCAGUAAAUCUAGCUCCUCAGUCAAGUCUUGGGUGAUGGGUUCUCCGUGCUUUUCAUUCUGCAGACUCUUCUGGAGGGUGGAGACCUUCUGAGAAUCGGCUCUUCCAUAAGGCGCUGUCCUCUCAUGCCCCACCUUUGACUCGCCGUUUGGUAGCCUUGCUCUGCUGGACCACGUCCCGGUUGGAGGCACGGAGCAGCAGAGGCCAGAGAGCAGGCUGCCUGGAUGCCCUUGCUCCUGGCUAGCAGACACAGCCUUGGACCACUGUAACCACAGGCCCUGUAGGACCAGCUCAAGCUGACCCAAUCUUAUCGCCAGAAGGUUUUUCAGGGGCAAGCCAAAAAUUUGCAAGUCAUAUAACCAGAGCAUGUGCGGAGGAGAAAAUCUUGAUCUGAAAUGACCCCGGAACCAAAGAUUCUCCACCACGGAACCAAAGGACUGGGAUGCGACGGGAACUUGAGAGUCGGACUCUUAUCAGAAGCGAGGAGUCCCUUGUCAGGGAAGAUCCGGUGUUAAAGCCUCUUCCACACCUUGCCAUAAAUGUUUAAAACCUUGCCAUAAACAUUUAAAGCCUUCCUAUAAAACGUUUAAAGCCCUCCAAUCGAAACUGCCCGCCAGCGCUUCCGUAUGCCAGCCUGUUCUCCCUAAUGUCUUCAAUUUUGCCCCAAACUCUGGAUCAGGGAGACAGAUUUGAGAAUGUUGCCUCCUGUCUCCUUGCUAGUCGACUUCAAAAUAAAGCUUUAUUCUUUUUGCAAAAGCUGAUGCCAUAAUAAUUGGCUCUUUAUGCGCAUCAGGCAAGAGAACGCCAAUGUUGUGCCAUCACGCUGCUCCUGCUCCCCACUUCUGUUUCUCCCGGUUGCUGGACGUGGGCCAUGGCAUUGCUCUGCACUCUGUUAUCUGGAACUCUCCGUCCCUUUGGCUCGCUCCGUCUCUGGCCCAAUGGCCCUCUGUGUGGACUGUGUUUGCCA